rnacentral:rRNA from 1 species
GAUGAACGCUGGCGGCGUGCCUAAUACAUGCAAGUCGAGCGAACGGACGAGAAGCUUGCUUCUCUGAUGUUAGCGGCGGACGGGCGAGUAACACGUGGAUCACCUACCUAUCAGACUGGGAUAACUUCGGGAAACCGUAGCUAAUACCGGAUCAUAUUUUGAACCGCAUGGUUCAAAAGUGAACGACGGUCUUGCUGUCACUUAUAGAUGGAUCCGCGCUGCAUUAGCUAGUUGGUAAGGUAACGGCUUACCAAGGCAACGAUGCAUAGCCGACCUGAGAGGGUGAGCGACCACACUGGAACUGAGACACGGUCCAGACUCCUACGGGAGGCAGCAGUAGGGAAUCUUACGCAAUGGGCGAAAGCCUGACGGAGCAACGCCGCGGGAGUGAUGAGGGUCUUCGGAUCGUAAAACGCUGUUAUUAGGGAAGAACAUAUGUGUAAGUAACUGGGCACAUCUUGACGGUACCUAAUCAGAAAGCCACGGCUAACUACGUG